rnacentral:tRNA from 1 species
GGGACGAUAGCUCAGCUUGGGAGAGCACACGGCUGAAGACCGUGGUGUCCUGGGUUCAAAUCCCAGUCGUCCCA